rnacentral:tRNA from 1 species
GAUAAGAUAGAGCAGUGGUAGCUCAUUAGGCUCAUGUCCUAAAGGUCAAAGGUUCGAAUCCUUUUUUUAUCA